GGGGAAUUUUCCACAAUGGGCGAAAGCCUGAUGGAGCAACGCCGCGUGUGUGAUGAAGGUCUUCGGAUUGUAAAGCACUUUCGAUCGGGACGAAAAACCUCUGGCUAACAUCCAGGGGCCUGACGGUACCGAGAGAAGAAGCACCGGCUAACUCUGUGCCAGCAGCCGCGGUAAUACAGAGGGUGCAAGCGUUGUUCGGAAUUAUUGGGCGUAAAGCGCGUGUAGGCGGCCUGACAAGUCAGAUGUGAAAUCCCUCGGCUCAACCGAGGAAGUGCGUCUGAAACUGUCUCGCUUGAGUGCCGGAGAGGAUGGCGGAAUUCCGCAAGUAGAGGUGAAAUUCGUAGAUAUGCGGAGGAACACCGGUGGCGAAGGCGGCCAUCUGGACGGCAACUGACGCUGAGACGCGAAAGCGUGGGGAGCAAAC
rnacentral:rRNA from 1 species